AAAAUUUUGUUUUCUUAGUUAUAUCAUUUCAUAUCAUAAUUAAUGGCUAAGUUCAUCGCGACUCUCUUGCUAGUGAUGUUUUAUCUCUCUCUCUCCUUAGCAGCAAGAGAAAAUGCUGUCCCAAGGGUUUGUCAACUGAGUACGAAACUCACUUGUACAGUGGGGUCGGGAGGAGAAUGUGCAGACUAUUGCAAAGCGCAUAUUAGCCCAUUAACACCCUAUAAAUCAGACUGUCUUGUAUCUGUUCCAGAAAAUGUUACCUAUUGCAAUUGUGACUAUCCUUGUUAAUCUCGAUGUUCUUUUAAUAAAUUGAUUAUGAUAACAACUUUUCAUUUUAAA